rnacentral:rRNA from 1 species
GACGAACGCUGGCGGCGUUCUUAACACAUGCAAGUCGAACGAAGUGGCGAACGGGUGAGUAACGCGUAAUCAACCUGCCCUUCAUAGGGGGACAACAGUUGGAAACGACUGCUAAUACCGCAUACUGAAGGACGGGAUUGCGUCUGAUUAGCUAGUGGGAGGGGUAACGGCCCACCAAGGCGAUGAUCAGUAGCCGGACUGAGAGGAUGAUCGGCCACAUUGGGACUGAGACACGGCCCAGACUCCUACGGGAGGCAGCAGUGGGGAAUCGUGCGGAAUGGACGAAAGACUGACGGAGCAACGCGGCGUGAGUGAGGACGGACUUCGGGUUGUAGAGCUCUGUUAAGCGGGACGCGGUACCGGAAUAGAAAGCCACGGCUAACUACGUGCCAGCAGCCGCGGUAAUUC